CGUGUAGGCGGGUAUUCAAGUUAGGGGUGAAAGGCCUGGGCUCAACCUGGGAACUGCCUUUAAAACUGGAUACCUAGAGUGCGGGAGAGGGUAGCGGAAUACCCAGUGUAGAGGUGAAAUUCGUAGAUAUUGGGUAGAACACCGGUGGCGAAGGCGGCUGCCUGGCCCGCAACUGACGCUGAGGCGCGAAAGCGUGGGGAGCAAACA
rnacentral:rRNA from 1 species